rnacentral:rRNA from 1 species
GAAAAGCACUCUGGAGAGAGAGUCAAAGACCGUGAAACCGCUCAGAGUAUAAGCCAAUGGCGCUCGGAAGGCAGCCGCCGUGGGUCUCUGCCCUUCCCUUCGGGGAUUGUGUAAGGGAUCCCGAGGCAGCGCAGGAGGUUCGCGUAGGCUCUCGCGCGCUUGCACCAUCGCGGUGCUCGCGCCGGGGGUCGUCGAGCGGGGAGCUCCGACGGCGGGCGUUUAGCGGACGGUACUUCGGUUCUGUCCGUCGCCUGUCGACGUCUCCCUUUCUAGUCUCGGCGCGUCCAAGCCGGCUGUCGGAGGCGGUUUUGCCCACCACGACACGUUGCGAGGUCACCCACAGGCUCGAAAGUCGAUCGUGAGUUCGGCGGGAGGUGCAUCGAAGGUCAGGCAGGGCGACGUGAGGCGCGCCCUUCGACCCGCACCCCUCGUCGGCCGGGCGACACACAGAGUGCUGGUGCGAUCCUCUGGCGACGAGUCGCUUCUCUUGCCUUGCCCCCCACUCGACUCUGCCACCAAGUGCCGGUGGCGAGUUAUUAUUGGCGGCCUGGAUCCAUCGGGAUCCUCCGCCGGGUGGUUUUCUCGGGGCUCGAGUGGUGUUAAAGUCCGGCGCCAUCGGUCACGUCUCGAAACACGGGCCAAGGAGUAUAGCAUGUGCGCAAGUCUAAGGGUGUCUCAAAACCCGAAGGCGAAGUGAAAGCAAGGUUGCGGUGGGCGAACCCCCUCUCGGGGGGGAUGAGUCCAUCGGCCGUGGCGCCUCCCUGGCGACCCGGCUUUUUCAUGAGGAAGGCAGAGCUGAUCCCGCCCUGGGCCGAAAAGCUCGAGGCGGGCGCAAGCUCCGGGCUCGUUCACACGGCGGUCGUUUAUUCGGCUGCCGCGCGAGCACCGUGAAGCGCAUACGCUAU